rnacentral:misc_RNA from 1 species
GUGCGCGCUGUCCAUCAAACCUAGAAAAUGAGAGAGUGAAUGCCUUUAGCCGCCAGCGAGAAAAAAGGGAUCAAGAAGAGAUAGCAAUGAGAGAGAUUGAGAGGUGGUGUUGGGAUUUACAUCGAACCCAGAAACUGAGUGAGUGAAGGUGUCGACUGUGUGUGACGAACUGAAGUAGUGAAUGAUUGUCGAGGGUGAACGACUGUCGAAUGUGACUGAGGGUUUAGGAAUUUGAUAUUCGGCCGCGAGAGAGAAGGGAAGGGAACGAGAGGUGAGAGUGAAGAAGGCUGCUGUGUGGGUGACUGGGUG